rnacentral:rRNA from 1 species
GACGAACGCUGGCGGCGUGCUUAACACAUGCAAGUCGAACGGAAAGGCCCUGCUUUUGUGGGGUGCUCGAGUGGCGAACGGGUGAGUAACACGUGAGUAACCUGCCCUUGACUUUGGGAUAACUUCAGGAAACUGGGGCUAAUACCGGAUAGGAGCUCCUGCUGCAUGGUGGGGGUUGGAAAGUUUCGGCGGUUGGGGAUGGACUCGCGGCUUAUCAGCUUGUUGGUGGGGUAGUGGCUUACCAAGGCUUUGACGGGUAGCCGGCCUGAGAGGGUGACCGGCCACCUUGGGACUGAGAUACGGCCCAGACUCCUACGGGAGGCAGCAGUGGGGAGUCUUGCACAAUGGGCGGAAGCCUGAUGCAGCAACGCCGCGUGCGGGAUGAUGGCCUUCGGGUUGUAAACCGCUUUCGCCUGUGACGAAGCGUGCUUGACGGUAAUGGGUAAAGAAGCACCGGCUAACUACGUG